AGCGAACGCUGGCGGCAGGCCUAACACAUGCAAGUCGAACGAACCCUUCGGGGUUAGUGGCGGACGGGUGAGUAACACGUGGGAACGUGCCUUUAGGUUCGGAAUAACUCAGGGAAACUUGUUGUAAUACCGAAAGUGCCUUUCGGGGGAAAGAUUUAUCGCCUUUAGAGCGGCCCGCGUCUGAUUAGCUAGUUGGUGAGGUAAUGGCUCACCAAGGCUACGAUCAGUAGCUGGUCUGAGAGGAUGACCAGCCACAUUGGGACUGAGACACGGCCCAAACUCCUACGGGAGGCAGCAGUGGGGAAUCUUGCGCAAUGGGCGAAAGCCUGACGCAGCCAUGCCGGGUGGAUGAUGAAGGUCUUAGGAUUGUAAAAUCCUUUCACCGGUGAAGAUAAUGACUGUAGCCGGAGAAGAAGCCCCGGCUAACUUCGUGCCAGCCGCCGCCGUAAUAC
rnacentral:rRNA from 1 species